CAGCAUUUUAUUUUCUGUUGUGGAAACUCAGUCCAGACAGGUUCACGGAUGGGACCAGAGGAAAAGAAAUCUGUGCAGGAAAAAAUUGCAGCAGAGUUGAGUGGUAGGACAACAGUUUCACAGUGAAAAUGUCAUCCCCGAUGGCAAGUUGGCUGACUAAAGAGAUAAAGGACGCAGGUGAACCUUCACGAGGACAAGCAACAGCUCCAUCUCACUAAAAGUCACACUAAAUGGCCUAGUUUGUCCUUUCACCAUGAUUAAAAAGUCUCCCUCCACUACAAAA